AUUUUUGCUUUAUUAGGGUUCGGAGUUAUACCUUAGGAUUAUAGGGUAAUAUAGUCAAAUUCCGGGGAAGUCCUAAAGCUUAUUUUACCAAGCAAUAUCCGAAAGGAUAUUUGUGGAUGAAUUAAUUACUCAUGUAUGGUAACAAGAAAUAAGAUGCUCUAAAGAGAAAUGGAUGAUCGCGGAUCUAAAUUAGUUGUAGGAUCCUAUUUUGCAACUGUAAAAGAGCAACGAGUAAAUGGCUAUAAAUAUUUACAAGAUUUUGGUAAUAUAUUUAAGAUGUACUCUAAUGAGCUUAAAAAUAAGCUA
rnacentral:ncRNA from 1 species